AUGCAGCCUGGGCGUCGUGGUCCACCGCUCGCCGCCGCUGGACGGCUGGAGGUCGUCGGCACCCAAGUACCGCCCAUGCUCUGGCGCUUGCACGCCGCCGGCCCUGCCCCAUCCCACCCUCCGCCACCACCUCCCCCACCCCGAGCCUUCCAGUUUGAGCUCCGCCUCGACCUCAUCCCUGCUGACGUCAUCUUCCCUGAACCAAGGAAGCCCUCAUCUGAUACGCUCUCGUCCGCGACGUGCUUCUCCAACCAUUGGUACGCGACGGUGGUUCGGUCCGGGAGGUGGCUCUUGCAAUCCUGGCGUCGCCGUAGCGGUGGUUCCAUUCCGGCGGCAUCAGGGGAGCACACAACGUCCAUGAGCAGCAAGCAGAGCCGGCCAAUGAUGCAGCAGCGCUGGCCAUGA
rnacentral:rRNA from 1 species